rnacentral:rRNA from 1 species
CCAAUAGCGUAUAUUAAAGUUGUUGCAGUUAAAAAGCUCGUAGUUGAAUUUCGGGAUCAGUACGUUGGUCGUGCCUUCGGUACGUACUGGCGUUACUGGUUCCUACCUUCUGAGGAACCGUCAUGUCAUUAAUUUGGUGUGGUGGGAAAUCAGGACUGUUACUUGGAAAAAAUUAGAGUGUUUAAAGCAGGCUCGCGCUUGAAUACAUUAGCAUGGAAUAAUGAAAUAGGACGUUCGAUCCUAUUUUGUUGGUUUCUAGGAUUGACGUAAUGAUUAAUAGGGAUAGUUGGGGGCAUUAGUAUUCAAUUGUCAGAGGUGAAAUUCUUGGAUUUAUUGAAGACUAACUACUGCGAAAGCAUUUGCCAAGGAUGUUUUCAUUAAUCAAGAACGAAAGUUAGGGGAUCGAAGACGAUCAGAUACCGUCGUAGUCUUAACCAUAAACUAUGCCGACUAGGGAUCGGAUGAUGUUAUUUUUAAUGACUCAUUCGGCGCCUUACG